AACUCACAUAUAAUUGAGUUAGUCUUAUAUGGAAUCAUUUUUUUAAUCUUUCUUUGUUGUCUUAUCUAGGGUGAAUAGAUGUGUGUUAAUGUUACCCUGGGAAAAGUCAUAUAACAUCUUUACUGAAAACAAUCUUGGAAACAAGAAGAAUUCAGGCUUUAAGAAUGCCCAUUCAGUUCUCGGUUUCCAAGUCUCCAACAUUUUCACUGACACUGCCCUUCACAUGCCAGGGUGUGGAAAAGUUGAUGCCAAGACUUGGGACACAAUUCAGAUAGAUCCUUCUACAGUUCUUCAGUGUGUACAGGAGGAUCUUCUACAUAAAAGUGUACAGUGUUACCUAGGGGCAAGGGAGGGAACUCAGCUACGCAUUUAAAUAAAAAGGUAAGUUGGGUAAUGUGGUAACUUUAUGUACAUUUUCAUUAUUAUGAUCAUUAUAUACUGUUAGU
rnacentral:lncRNA from 1 species